GGUUAAGCGACUAAGCGUACACGGUGGAUGCCCCGGCAGUCAGAGGCGAUGAAGGACGUGCUAAUCUGCGAUAAGCGCCGGUAAGGUGAUAUGAACCGUUAUAACCGGCGAUUUCCGAAUGGGGAAACCCAGUGUGACUCGUCACACUAUCAUUAACUGAAUCCAUAGGUUAAUGAGGCGAACCGGGGAACUGAAACAUCUAAGUACCCCGAGGAAAAGAAAUCAACCGAGAUUCCCCCAGUAGCGGCGAGCGAACGGGGAGGAGCCCAGAGCCUGAAUCAGCAUGUGUGUUAGUGGAAGCGUCUGGAAAGGCGCGCGAUACAGGGUGACAGCCCCGUACACAAAAGCGCAUGUGCUGUGAGCUCGAUGAGUAGGGCGGGACACGUGGUAUCCUGUCUGAAUAUGGGAGAUCAUCCUCCAAGGCUAAAUACUCCUGACUGACCGAUAGUGAACCAGUACCGUGAGGGAAAGGCGAAAAGAACCCCGGCGAGGGGAGUGAAAAAGAACCUGAAACCGUGUACGUACAAGCAGUGGGAGCACAGGUUUACCUGUGUGACUGCGUACCUUUUGUAUAAUGGGUCAGCGACUUAUAUUCUGUAGCAAGGUUAACCGAAUAGGGGAGCCGGAGGGAAACCGAGUCUUAACCGGGCGUUAAGUUGCAGGGUAUAGACCCGAAACCCGGUGAUCUAGCCAUGGGCAGGUUGAAGGUUGGGUAACACUAACUGGAUGAAUCGAACCGACUAAUGUUGAAAAAUUAGCGGAUGACCUGUGGCUGGGGGUGAAAGGCCAAUCAAACCGGGAGAUAGCUGGUUCUCCCCGAAAGCUAUUUAGGUAGCGCCUCGUGAAUUCAUCUCCGGGGGUAGAGCACUGUUUCGGCUAGGGGGCCAUCCCGGCUUACCAACCCGAUGCAAACUGCGAAUACCGGAGAAUGUUAUCACGGGAGACACACGGCGGGUGCUAACGUCCGUCGUGAAGAGGGAAACAACCCAGACCGCCAGCUAAGGUCCCAAAGUCAUGGUUAAGUGGGAAACGAUGUGGGAAGGCCCAGACAGCCAGGAUGUUGGCUUAGAAGCAGCCAUCAUUUAAAGAAAGCGUAAUAGCUCACUGGUCGAGUCGGCCUGCGCGGAAGAUGUAACGGGGCUAAACCAUGCACCGAAGCUGCGGCAGCGACACUCAGGUGUUGUUGGGUAGGGGAGCGUUCUGUAAGCCUGUGAAGGUGUGUCGUGAGGCAUGCUGGAGGUAUCAGAAGUGCGAAUGCUGACAUAAGUAACGAUAAAGCGGGUGAAAAGCCCGCUCGCCGGAAGACCAAGGGUUCCUGUCCAACGUUAAUCGGGGCAGGGUGAGUCGACCCUAAGGCGAGGCCGAAAGGCGUAGUCGAUGGGAAACGGGUUAAUAUUCCCGUACUUGGUGUUACUGCGAAGGGGGACGGAGAAGGCUAUGUUGGCCGGGCGACGGUUGUCCCGGUUUAAGCGUGUAGGUGUGUGUUCGGUGUAAAUCCGGUUCACUUUAACACUGAGGCGUGAUGACGAGGCACUACGGUGCUGAAGCAACAAAUGCCCUGCUUCCAGGAAAAGCCUCUAAGCAUCAGGUAACAUCAAAUCGUACCCCAAACCGACACAGGUGGUCAGGUAGAGAAUACCAAGGCGCUUGAGAGAACUCGGGUGAAGGAACUAGGCAAAAUGGUGCCGUAACUUCGGGAGAAGGCACGCUGACAUGUAGGUGAAGUGAUUUACUCAUGGAGCUGAAGUCAGUCGAAGAUACCAGCUGGCUGCAACUGUUUAUUAAAAACACAGCACUGUGCAAACACGAAAGUGGACGUAUACGGUGUGACGCCUGCCCGGUGCCGGAAGGUUAAUUGAUGGGGUCAGCGCAAGCGAAGCUCCUGAUCGAAGCCCCGGUAAACGGCGGCCGUAACUAUAACGAUUCUAAGGUAGCGAAAUUCCUUGUCGGGUAAGUUCCGACCUGCACGAAUGGCGUAAUGAUGGCCAGGCUGUCUCCACCCGAGACUCAGUGAAAUUGAACUCGCUGUGAAGAUGCAGUGUACCCGCGGCAAGACGGAAAGACCCCGUGAACCUUUACUAUAGCUUGACACUGAACAUUGAGCCUUGAUGUGUAGGAUAGGUGGGAGGCUUUGAAGCGUGGACGCCAGUCUGCGUGGAGCCGACCUUGAAAUACCACCCUUUAAUGUUUGAUGUUCUAACGUGACCCGUAAUCCGGGUUGCGGACAGUGUCUGGUGGGUAGUUUGACUGGGGCGGUCUCCUCCUAAAGAGUAACGGAGGAGCACGAAGGUUGGCUAAUCCUGGUCGGACAUCAGGAGGUUAGUGCAAUGGCAUAAGCCAGCUUGACUGCGAGCGUGACGGCGCGAGCAGGUGCGAAAGCAGGUCAUAGUGAUCCGGUGGUUCUGAAUGGAAGGGCCAUCGCUCAACGGAUAAAAGGUACUCCGGGGAUAACAGGCUGAUACCGCCCAAGAGUUCAUAUCGACGGCGGUGUUUGGCACCUCGAUGUCGGCUCAUCACAUCCUGGGGCUGAAGUAGGUCCCAAGGGUAUGGCUGUUCGCCAUUUAAAGUGGUACGCGAGCUGGGUUUAGAACGUCGUGAGACAGUUCGAUUCCUAUCUCGCCGUGGGCGCUGGAGAACUGAGGGGGCUGCUCCUAGUACGAGAGGAUCGGAGUGGACGCAUCACUGGUGUUCGGGUUGUCAUGCCAAUGGCACUGCCCGGUAGCUAAAUGCGGAAGAGAUAAGUGCUGAAAGCAUCUAAGCACGAAACUUGCCCCGAGAUGAGUUCUCCCUGAGACUUAGAGUCUCCUGAAGGAACGUUGAAGACGACGACGUUGAUAGGCCGGGUGUGUAAGCGCAGCGAUGCGUUGAGCUAACCGGUACUAAUGAACCGUGAGGCUUAACCUU
rnacentral:rRNA from 1 species